GAUCAUGGCUCAGGAUAAACGCUGGCGGCGUACAUAAGACAUGCAAGUCGAACGGCAGAAGUUGGAAGUUUUUAACAUUCAAUGGAAACCGUGGCGGACGGGUGAGUAACACGUAAAUAACCUGCCUACAAGAGGGGGAUAACAGAGAGAAAUUUCUGAUAAUACCGCAUAAGCUAGAAAUACCGCAUGGUAUAGCUAGAAAAGAUUUAUCGCUUGUAGAUGGAUUUGCGUCUGAUUAG
rnacentral:rRNA from 1 species